UACGUAGGGGGCAAGCGUUGUCCGGAUUUAUUGGGCGUAAAGAGCGUGUAGGCGGCCAGGUAGGUCCGUUGUGAAAACUCGAGGCUCAACCUCGAGACGCCGAUGGAAACCAUCUGGCUAGAGUCCGGAAGAGGAGAGUGGAAUUCCUGGUGUAGCGGUGAAAUGCGCAGAUAUCAGGAAGAACACCUAUGGCGAAAGCAGCUCUCUGGGACGGUACUGACGCUGAGACGCGAAAGCGUGGGGAGCAAACAGG
rnacentral:rRNA from 1 species